rnacentral:rRNA from 1 species
UACAGAGGUCUCAAGCGUUGUUCGGAUUCAGUUGGGCGUAAAGGGUGCGUAGGCGGCGCGGUAAAGUCGGGUGUGAAAUCUUGGAGCUUAACUCCGAAACUGCAUUCGAUACUGCCGUGCUUGAGGACUGGAGAGGAGACGUGGAAUUUACGGUGUAGCGGUGAAAUGCGUAGAUAUCGUAAGGGAAGACCAGUGGCGAAGGCGGGUCU